rnacentral:rRNA from 1 species
CCCUUAGAUGUUCUGGGCCGCACGCGCGCUACACUGAUGCAUUCAACGAGCCUAUCCUUGACCGACAGGUCCGGGUAAUCUUUGAAUCUGCAUCGUGACGGGGAUAGAUUAUUGCAAUUAUUAAUCUUCAACGAGGAAUGCCUAGUAGGCGCAAGUCAUCAGCUUGCGUCGAUUACGUCCCUGCCCUUUGUACACACCGCCCGUCGCUCCUACCGAUGGAUCGUCCGGUGAAGCUCAUGGAGGGGCGGUUGUCUCAGCUGCCGUCGAAGUGAAAUGGACCUCACGAUCUAGAGGAAGGAGAAGUCGUAACA